GUGUCCUUGAUGUUUAAACACAGGGGGUAAAGUAUCUCUCCCCUAAACCUGUGGUGGAGGCUCAAGCCCUCGCUUCGGAUCCUGUCGGGAGAAACAAGC
ensembl:snoRNA small nucleolar RNA SNORA26